rnacentral:rRNA from 1 species
UACGUAGGGUGCAAGCGUUGUCCGGAAUUAUUGGGCGUAAAGAGCUCGUAGGCGGUCUGUCGCGUCGGCUGUGAAAACUCGGGGCUCAACUCCGAGCUUGCAGUCGAUACGGGCAGGCUAGAGUUCGGCAGGGGAGACUGGAAUUCCUGGUGUAGCGGUGAAAUGCGCAGAUAUCAGGAGGAACACCGGUGGCGAAGGCGGCCUGCUGGGCAGUUUUGCUGACACUGAGGCGCGACAGCGUGGGGAGCAAACAGG